rnacentral:rRNA from 1 species
UACGUAGGGGGCGAGCGUUGUCCGGAUUUAUUGGGCGUAAAGAGCGUGUAGGCGGCCAGGUAGGUCUGCUGUGAAAACUCGAGGCUCAACCUCGAGACGUCGGCGGAAACCAUCUGGCUAGAGUCCGGAAGAGGAGAGUGGAAUUCCUGGUGUAACGGUGAAAUGCGCAGAUAUCGGGAGGAACACCAGUAGCGAAGGCGGCACUCUGGGCCGGUACUGACGCUGAGGAGCGAAAGCG